rnacentral:misc_RNA from 1 species
GUCGUAACAAGGUAGCCGUAGGGGAACCUGCGGUUGGAUCACCUCCUUACCUGAAGAUACCUUCCCGCGUAGUGCUCACACAGAUUGUCUGAUAGAAAGUAAUGAGCAAGACGGCUGCGAAGUCGUGACACAUCGUGUCCCCUUCGUCUAGCGGUUAGGACUCCGCCCUUUCACGGCGGCAACAGGGGUUCGAAUCCCCUAGGGGACGCCACUUGCUUGGUGACAGGUGAAAGGUGUCUCCACGAAGUAUCUCAAACGAAGCUUACGAGCUGCGUCUGAGAUAUUGCUCUUUAACAAUCCGGAACAAGCUGAAAAUUGAAACGACGUGUUGGUUCAUUUCUCCGUAAUAAGAAAUGAAUAACGACACGUUCGAGUCUCUCAAUGCCUGCAGUCCCGAACGUUGCAAAACGCCUGUGGGUUGUGAGGUUAAGCGACUAAGCGUACACGGUGGAUGCCUUGGC